UACGUAGGGUGCAAGCGUUGUCCGGAAUUAUUGGGCGUAAAGAGCUCGUAGGCGGUCUGUUGCGUCGGCUGUGAAAACCCGGGGCUCAACCCCGGGCCUGCAGCCGAUACGGGCAGACUAGAGUUCGGCAGGGGAGACUGGAAUUCCUGGUGUAGCGGUGAAAUGCGCAGAUAUCAGGAGGAACACCGGUGGCGAAGGCGGGUCUCUGGGCCGAUACUGACGCUGAGGAAGCGGAAAGCAUGGGGAGCAAACAGG
rnacentral:rRNA from 1 species